rnacentral:tRNA from 1 species
GCGGGCGUGGCGGAAUUGGCAGACGCACUAGACUUAGGAUCUAGCGCCGCGUGCGUGGGGGUUCAAGUCCCUCCGCCCGCACCA